rnacentral:rRNA from 1 species
CCUACGGGAGGCAGCAGUGGGGAAUUUUCCGCAAUGGGCGAAAGCCUGACGGAGCAACGCCGCGUGAGGGAUGAAGGCCUCUGGGCUGUAAACCUCUUUUAUCAAGGAAGAAGAUCUGACGGUACUUGAUGAAUAAGCCACGGCUAAUUCCGUGCCAGCAGCCGCGGUAAUACGGGAGUGGCAAGCGUUAUCCGGAAUUAUUGGGCGUAAAGCGUCCGCAGGCGGUCUUGUAAGUCUGUCGUUAAAGCGUGGAGCUUAACUCCAUUUCGGCGGUGGAAACUACAAGACUAGAGUGUGGUAGGGGCAGAGGGAAUUCCCGGUGUAGCGGUGAAAUGCGUAGAUAUCGGGAAGAACACCAGUGGCGAAGGCGCUCUGCUGGGCCAUAACUGACGCUCAUGGACGAAAGCUAGGGGAGCGAAAGGGAUUAGAUACCCCUGUAGUCCUAGCCGUAAACGAUGAACACUAGGUGUCGGGGGAAUCGACCCCCUCGGUGUCGUAGCUAACGCGUUAAGUGUUCCGCCUGGGGAGUACGCNCGCAGUGUGAACGUACAAUAGAAGUUAGACGG